GCUCCAGUGGCGCAAUUGGUUAGCGCACAGUACUUAUAAUGCUGAAGGUUGUGAGUUCAAACCUCACCUGGAGCA